ACGGAUAUCUCGGCUCUCGCCACGAUGAAGAAUGUAGCGAAAUGCGAUACUUAGUGUGAAUUGCAGAAUCCCGUGAAUCAUCGAGUCUUUGAACGCAAGUUGCGCCCGAGGCCUCGGCCAAGGGCACGUCUGCUUGGGCGUCGCA
rnacentral:rRNA from 4 species